UAAAAUAUUAUCUAUAUUUUAUAUUUUAUUAUAUUGUAAGUUUUAUUCUUGCUUUAAAUAUUAAGUUAUUUUAUUAAUUAUAUGUUUAUUUCUUUUUUUAAUUAAUUUAGUUUCAGUAAUAAGUAUUACAUAGUAUUUUUAUUUUUAUUAAGAUAUAAAAUUAUAUUAGAUUAAAAUUGUGCCAGCAUUCGCGGUUAUACAAUUUAUUAAAUUUAAUAUUAUAGGUUUUAAUUAUUUUUUUUUUUGAUUUAAAAAUUUUAAAUUUUAGGUGGAAUUUUAUUUUAAAAUUUAAAUCUUAUAAAUUUUUAUUAAAUUUUAGUUUUAAACUAGGAUUAGAUACCCUAUUAUUUUAAAUUUAAAUUUUAAUCAGAAUAUUAUCAGUUAAUAACUGUUAAACUCAAAGAAUUUGGCGGUAAUUUAUUUUUUUAGAGGAAUUUGGUUUUUAAUCGAUAAACCACGAUAAAUUUAACUUUUUUUAUACUUGUAUAUCUCUAUAAUUUGGAAUGUUACUAUAUUAUAUUUUCUUUUUUUAUAUUUAUAAUUAUAUUAGGUCAAGGUGCAGUUUUAAUAAAGUGAAUUUGAAUUACUUUAAUAAUAAAUAUUUUAAUAUUUUUAAUAAUAUUUAAUUUUAUAAUAGAAUUUAAUAGUAAAUUUAUAUAAUUAUUUAAAUUGAAUUUUACACUAAAUUAUGUACAUAUUGCCCGUCACUCUCAUAUUUAUGAGAUAAGUCGUAACAAAGUAACUUUACUGGAAAGUGAAGUUAGAAAGUC
rnacentral:ncRNA from 1 species